GACCUAAGUUCCUUGGAACAGGACGUCAUAGAGGGUGAGAAUCCCGUAUGCGGUCGGAAAGGUGCUCUAUACGUAGCUCCUUCGACGAGUCGAGUUGUUUGGGAAUGCAGCUCUAAAUGGGAGGUAAAUUUCUUCUAAAGCUAAAUAUUGGCCAGAGACCGAUAGCGCACAAGUAGAGUGAUCGAAAGAUGAAAAGCACUUUGGAAAGAGAGUUAAAAAGCACGUGAAAUUGUUAAAAGGGAAGGGAUUGCAACCAGACUUGCUCGCGGUGUUCCGCCGGUCUUCUGACCGGUCUACUCGCCGCGUUGCAGGCCAGCAUCGUCUGGUGCCGCUGGAUAAGACUCGAGGAAUGUAGCUCCCUCGGGAGUGUUAUAGCCUCUUGUGAUGCAGCGAGCGCCGGGCGAGGUCCGCGCUUCGGCUAGGAUGCUGGCGUAAUGGUCGUAAUCCGCCCGUCUUGAAACACGGACCAGGGAGA
rnacentral:rRNA from 1 species